GACGGGGGGGGCAAGCGUUGUUCGGAAUUACUGGGCGUAAAGGGCUCGUAGGUGGCCAACUAAGUCAGACGUGAAAUCCCUCGGCUUAACCGGGGAACUGCGUCUGAUACUGGAUGGCUUGAGUUUGGGAGAGGGAUGCGGAAUUCCAGGUGUAGCGGUGAAAUGCGUAGAUAUCUGGAGGAACACCGGUGGCGAAGGCGGCAUCCUGGACCAACACUGACGCUGAGUGAGCGAAAGCCAGGGGAGCAAACGGG
rnacentral:rRNA from 1 species